rnacentral:lncRNA from 1 species
AUACCGGAUUUUAAUAUAAAAGUAAAUAUAAAUAAAAAUAGUGUGAGAUACUAUUUUUAUUGGAUUUAGAGAAGUAAAACAUAAGUCGGAAACGACUUGUGCUGAAAUCGGAACGGAAACAGAAGAUUUAGAAUUUCUAUUGGACACGGGGCUGAUAUUUUAGCAGAAAAUGCACAAUGUCCGAAAAUUAUGAAAACUGGAGAAUAUGUCAGAAUUAUUUUUAUGAGGCUAGAUUUAAAGUUUCAUGUCGUUCUGACACCCGGAAGGUGGAAAAUAAAAUUCAACUGCUAUCUGCUAGAGAUUACAGUUCGGUAGAGCUUUCGGUGACCAAAUUUGGUCGAAACUGAAUGAUUAAAAUUUCUUUCAUUAAGUUAAGUAAAACCGAGCCUGACUGUCAAAUUUGAGCUCAAACGAACAUUUAGAAGGGCAGGCGAAAAAUAU